UAAAACGUAUGAACCAUUUAAGGUAUUUCCUGAAAGUGGAGCGUGAUUGGUAGGACUUUAUUUGCAUACCCACAAUGCAUUGCGCAGUAAAUAAUGUUCGUCCUUAAAAUUAUUUCCCCUUUUUCCUUCAACAUAUCUUUCUCGAAACCCAGAUUGCUGUCCCAGAAUUGUCUAAAGAAAAAGGCUGAAGUCAAUAGCUCUUUUGGACGGAAAGAAAGUUACCAUUAGCCGUUUAGGAGUAGCCGUUACCUGAGAACUGAGUGCCGACCAUUGAAGGUAUACUGCGGUUUCUCUUCAGAUCGUAUAAAUCUUUCGCCUUUUACUAAAGAUUUCCGUGGAGAGGAACAACUCUGAGUCUGAAACCAAUUUUUUGAGGCCUUGCUUUUUUAGCGGGGCUUAUCUUAAGCGUUUUUAAAAACAGACGUAAUUUUACUAAAUUGUGUAAGGGGUGUUAUAGAACAAACGCGGAUUAAGGUUUUUCCACCUCUUCGCUGUGCUAAGGUAUGUGGUAUCGAUUGCGUUAGUUUUCUGGGCAGUUAAGGUUUAUCCAGCUCUCCGGUUUGUUAAGGUAUGUGGUAUCAGUUGCAUUGUAUUUCUGGACAGUUAUAGCAUUAAGAUGUUGGGGUGGCUUACUGCUUUUAACCAAGAAGUAGGGUUUGUUGGUUGAUUACACCAGUGGUUUUUAACCCCAGCCACUGACUGAGGGAGGGUUACCGACUCACAAGCGAGCAUUAAUGCCUGAGGUCCGCCUGCUGUCAGGGCAGCAAGGCCUCCGAUUUUCCUAGGAGCGGGAACCCUAUUGUGAACUGCGUAUACGUGGUAUCUAGGUGCGUGCACCUUUUAAGAAUCUAAUGGCUGAUGACGAGGGGGACAGUUUCAACCUGGAACUGUCCGCACCCCCUACCCACCUUCCCCCGCCCUUCGAAAAACUGCCUUCCAUGAACUGGGUCCCUUGUGCCAGAAAGGUUGGGGACCGCUGGACUAUCCGAUCAAAUGAAGCAGGGACUCGGGGCGAGCUUCCCCGCUGCUCCCGCCGGCUUCUCCGUGUAGAAUCGAAGAAGGCAGUCCCAAGGGCUCUUCUGCCCCGUAUCCCCGCCUGAGGCGUGCCAGGCGCGCAGCUAGUCCUCCCCCGACCCAACCGGUUUGAUGAAACGCAAGAGAAAGUGAAUUUUCAGCCACUCCCAUUGGCCAGAAUUCGUCUCAGCCGCAAGGGAGGCUGGGAAAUGCAGUCAUGCCUUCAGGUAGCUGUGAGCCCUGCUAGCGAUGGGAGAUUCUAGAGAGAGGUUGAAUACUGGGGAGGAAAAACUAGCAGGGUCUGUCCCAGUAAAGGAGGGAGGAAAUCCAUCGCAAAAAAUCCUGACCCCCAGGCCGGGCGCGGUGGCUCACGCCUGUAAUCCCAGCACUUUGGGAGGCCGAGGCGGGCGGAUCACCUGCGGAUCACCUGAGGUCAGGAGUUCGAGACUGGCCUGGCCAACAUGGAGAAACCCCGUCUCUACUAAAAAUACAAAAAUUAGCCGGGCAGGAGGGCGCAUGCCUGUAAUCACAGCCACUCGGGAGGCUGAGGCAGUAGAAUCGCUUGAACCUGGAAGGCGGAGGUUGCAGUGAACCGAGAUCGCGCCACUGCACUCGAGCCUGAGCGACAGAGCGAGACUGUCUCAAAAAAAAAAAAAAAAAAAUCUACCCCAGGCUCAGGCCGUGAAGCAGCCGCCCACAGCCCCGCCAUGCCCCGCGACGCCCCGCCAUGCCCCGCGACGCCCCGCCAUGCCCCGCGACGCCCCGCCAUGCCCCGCCAUGCCCCGCGACGCCCCGCGACGCCCCGCGACGCCCCGCGACGCCCCGCGACGCCCCGCGACGCCCCGCGACGCCCCGCGACUCAAAGCCCCAUUCAAGCUACGUAGAAGGGUAAAUUGUCCUUUUCCCCCGCCAGCUGCUCCUCUAGAAGCCAGCUCUGGUCCUUCAGACUCAAAUACUAGGAAACAAUGUUUUCUCUGAGUCGUGAGUGUGUUUUUUGUUUCAGAACAAAUACGAACCGUCGUAAUGACUAAGUACAUCUACUUUUAGAACGCUCAAGUAAGCCUUGCUAAAAAAAAUGCAAGACCUCCAAAAAAAUUGGUUUAAAACUCAAGAGUUGUUUCUCUCCACGGAAAUCUUUAGUAAAAGGCGAAAGAUUUAUGCGAUAUGAAGAGAAACUAGAGUAAAGACAUUGUGGGCGGCACUCAGUUCUCAGGUAAUGGCUACUCCCAACAGGCUAAUGGUAAAUUUCUUUCUGCCCAAAAGAGCUGUUGACUUCUGCCUUUUUCUUCAGACAAUUAUGGAACAGCAAUCUCAGUUUUGGGAAAGAUAGAUUGAAGGAAAAAGGGGCUCUAGUAAUUUUAAAGACGAAAAUUAUUUGGUGCACAAUGCAUUGUGGGUAUGCAAAUAAAGUCUCAGCAAUCAAGCUCCAAUUUUGACAAACUGGUGAAGCCUUAGGGACUCCUCAAAAAAAGGUUUUCUGUUGCUUUUGUUUUGUCUUAAAUUUUUGAUUUUUAAUGUUUGUGGGUACAUAGCAUGUGUAUGUAUGGGUUACAUGACAAGAGAAAGGUUUUGUUUGUUUGAGAUGGAGUCUUGCUCUUGUCACCCAGGCUGGAGUGCUGUGGUGCGAUCUCAGCUCACUGCAACCUCCGCCUCCUGGGUUCAAGCGAUUCUCCUGCCUCAGCCUCCCGAGUAGCUGGGAUUACAGGUGUGGGCCACCAUGCCCGGCUAAUUUUUGUAUUUUUAGUAGAGAUGGGGUUUCACCAUGUUGGCCAGGCUGGUCUCGAACUCCUGACCUAAGGUGAUCUGCCUGCCUCGGCCUCCCAAAGUGCUGGGAUUACAGGCGUGAGCUACUGCGCCCAGCCCCUGCGAAUGCUGUGUAGUUGUCUCUUCCCAUGGUUUUAUUCUGAGAGGAGCCCCAGCCUUUCUCACGAGCUCACUUGCCCAGUGUUGCCAUCUCCCAGGACAGCCACAGAGCAGUCACACUGGUCCCUGGCCCGGGUUUUCAGAGCUCUCCUCCACGUGUGUGUUAGGGUUCUCUAGAGGGACAGGACUAAUAGGAUCUACGUAUAUAUGAGAGGGACUUUAUUAAGGAGAAUUGACUCACACGAUCACAAGGUCAAGUCCCAUGAUAAGCCGCCUGCAAGUUGAGGAUCAAGGAAGCCAGCAGUGGCUCAGUCCAGGUCCCAAAACCUCAAAAGUAGGGAAGCUGACAGUGCAGCCUUCAAUCUGUGGCCGAAGGCCUGAGAGCCCCCAGCAAACCACUGGUGUAAGUCCAGGAGUCCAAAAGGUGAAGAACUUGGAGUCUGAUGUUCAAGGGCAGGAAGCCUCCAGCACAGGAGAAAGAUGAAGCCCGGAGGACCCGGCAAGUCGGCUUUUUCCACCUUCGUCUGCCUGCUUUUUCUAGCUGUGCUGGCAGCCGACUGGAUGGUGCCCCCGACACUAACUUCAAAGAGGAACCAGGAGUACGGGAAGAGCAUGAAAGUGGACAAGGAGCGUGACCAUGGAAGCACAGCACCACAGGGAGGGGUUUAGGCCUCCGGAUGACUGCGGGCAGGCCUGGAUAAUAUCCAGCCUCCCACAAGAAGCUGGUGGAGCAGAGUGUUCCCUGACUCCUCCAAGGAAACGGAGACUCCCUUUCACGGUCUGCUAAGUAACGAGUGCCUUCCCAGGCACUGGCGUUACCACUUGACCAAGGAGCCCUCAAGCGGCCCUGAUGCAGGCGUGACAGAGGGCUCACCUCUUGCCUUCUUGGUCACUUCUCACAAUGUCCCUUCAGCACCUGUCCCUAUACCCGCCGGUUAUUCCUUGGUUAUACAACAAAGAGUAAUAUUAAAAGUUAAUGAUUAAUAAUGUUUAUACUAAUGAUUUAUAAUGUCCAUCUCUAUAUCUAAUUUGUAUUAUAACUAUUCUCAUUCUAACUAUUUUAUUAUACUGAAACAGUUUGUGCCUUCAGUCUCUUGCCUCGGCACCUGGGUAAUCCUCCGUCCACACUCGUCUGUCUCUCCUAAAGGCUGCAUUCGCUGAGGUGUGUCUGUGUUGUUCCCCUUUGAGUUCCAGUCAAAAAAGAUUCCUAGAGAGAAUUCGCUCUCACGCCAGGGCUAAGCUCCUCCCACCAGGUUCAUGAGCCUGGAAGUAAGUGCCGUCCACCAAUGUCCUGCCUGCUCUUCAGAGGCUCCUCAAGCCUUCCCUGCCCAGAGAGAUUCCUGGAUGGAAAGGAAAAACGUCCCUGCCUGGCAGAAAUUGAUGCUGCUUCUGGAAAUGUAGGGCAGGUGGCUGUUUCCAAAAUGUGUCUGCCAUCACUUGAGCUAGUAGUGGGAGCAUCUAGUUUUGGAGCUGGACAGACUUGGGAACGCAUCCCUGACUCCACAAAUUAUGUGACUUUGGCUUAAUGACUUAUCGUCUGGGAGCCUCACUUUCCUCAUCUGUAAAACAGGACUGACACUCGCCUUGCAGGAAUACUGGAGGUCUGUACUGCGCUGCCAACAUCUAUUCGCCCUCAUCCGUGACAAGAGUACCCACAAUUUCCUCUGGGAAGCUGCUCCUCUCUGAUUAGUGUCUGUUCAGUGGUUGGAGGUUGACCCUACCCCAGCUCUGAGACGGCCUGGCCAGCCUAUCCUAAUUAGCAUAUCCCUUUCACCCUGGCUACAGUGAUUGACUUAGGGCUGGGCUGUGCAGAGGUGAGCCUCAGCUUUUUGGGUAGGAACACCAGGACUUGGAUUCCACUGGGUUUAAUGCUAGGAGGGCAUCAAGCUUGUGAUAACUGUGGCCAUUUUUGUUACCAUAAGGGUAGCCAGUCUGAGGAUGGAAGCCAAUCUACAGGAAACAGAGCUAAGAGAUACUAAUGCAUCCCUAAAUCACUUGAGUCCUGGAUCAAACCAUUCCUGAAGCUCCUACUAAGCUACACUGUUAUGUGAACCAAUACUCUUCCUUUUGUUUAACCA